CAUUUCGUUCUGGACCCCGCGCACAUGAAUGAUGCACUAAGACAAUUCUCUGCCUUAUCAUAAAUUCUGCAAACUCAUGAACUUUGCAAUCUCUGAAGCUCAGCGCUGUAUGGGAGCCACUUAUCUUGUGCUGAAAGCAAUAUAAAAACAGAUGGCAAAGAGUGCAUCGGGAGAUAAAUCAGCGGCCUGGCUGCCAGGAGUUUGCGGACAAA
rnacentral:lncRNA from 1 species